UACGUAGGGGGCGAGCGUUGUCCGGAAUCAUUGGGCGUAAAGCGCGUGUAGGCGGCCAUCUAAGUUUGGUGUGAAAGCCCAGGGCUUAACCCUGGAAGUGCACUGAAUACUGGAAGGCUAGAGGAUAAGAGGGGAGAUUGGAAUUCAUGGUGUAGGGGUGAAAUCCGUAGAUAUCAUGAGGAACAUCAGUGGCGAAGGCGAAUCUCUGGCUUAUUUCUGACGCUGAGACGCGAAAGCGUGGGGAGCAAACAGG
rnacentral:rRNA from 1 species